AUGGAAAGAGCAGAGGAUGCUGCUAAUGAGCCGGGACUCGCACCGCCCGUCGAUGUCAACGACAACCGGGAGGAGUACAAAGCACGCGUUUGCGGUUCAGACCCCGAAAGAACACGGGAGGGUUCUGUUUACAGUUCGGCAUAUGCGAAUCCGGACGGUGCUGGACUGCCCUCUCUCUCCCCGGUGGUGGUGGGGUACAGGGCCGGAGUAUUAAACGGGUUUCCCGGAAAGCUGGAGGUGGAUAUGGUGUGUGCGAAUGGAGAAGGAGGAGAGGGGGCAACCCGGCCUCGCCCGGAUCGGGUUAUAGGGACUUCCGAAGUCGAGUGCUGGAAUCAAUCCGACAGAAACUAUUUAAAUUCACAACUGAAGUCUGCCGUGUCAUUUAUGGGUAUAAACUCGCCGGAUAUGAAGAUGCCUAAUGGAGAUGUUACCCAUGAGCACAUGGAUCUUGAUCAGACUCAUUUAAGGUGUUUGGAUUAUGCAGAAGGAUUCAACAGGAAGGUGCCUGCUUUAGACAAAGGUGUGAAAGUGGGUAAUGGGGGGUUGUUGAUUGUAAACAGUUAUGACACCCUGUCUCAAGUCCCCUUUAGAGCAGUGGGUGGCCUUCCUGCUCCAGAAAGCCGUGUCUUUGUUCAUCGAAGCAACAGUGUCCUCUCCACGGGGAGGUCAUGUGAAAGGAUCAGUCGUGCCAGUGCUGAGAACUCAGAGGAGGCCCAGCCCUGUGACCCGGAUCCCGCGGACACCCUGUCAGACCUCAGUGCCAAGCUGUCCUUUUCUCCCCUGGCAGAAAACACCAGCGAUUACACAGAGACAGACCCGAGCCCAGAGGAGGAUUUCAGUGAAUCGGGCCCUCCUCCCCUCAGGCCCCAGAACCUCCGGACUAACUCUGGUCACACAGUCUCCCUCAGCUGUGAUGCCACUCCUCUGAGCCCCGGGGAUGAUGGGUAUUUUGGAGCAGAGUGCGGUGUGGAUGAAUGUCUCAGCUCUGUGAAAGCAUUCGAGGGCGGCCGGCGGAAGAGCGCUCCAGACCGGGUCGCUGCUGACUCUGAUGCCUCAUAUGACCAGACGCUUGGCACUAAGAGACACGGCAUUGCUGAGUUCCUGACCAGGUAG
rnacentral:lncRNA from 12 species